rnacentral:rRNA from 1 species
UACGGGGGGGGCAAGCGUUGUUCGGAAUUACUGGGCGUAAAGGGCUCGUAGGCGGCCAACUAAGUCAGACGUGAAAUCCCUAGGCUCAACCUAGGAACUGCGUCUGAUACUGGAUGGCUUGAAUCCGGGAGAGGGAUGCAGAAUUCCAGGUGUAGCGGUGAAAUGCGUAGAUAUCUGGAGGAAUACCGGUGGCGAAGGCGGCAUCCUGGACCAUUACUGACGCUGAGGCGCGAAAGCUAGGGGAGCAAACGGG